rnacentral:rRNA from 1 species
UACGGAGGGUGCAAGCGUUGCUCGGAAUUAUUGGGCGUAAAGGGCAGGUAGGUGGUCUUAUUUGUCUGAGGUGAAAUCCCAGGGCUUAACCCUGGAAGUGCCUUAGAAACGGUAAGACUUGAGUCCUAGAGGGGGUCGUGGAAUUCCCGGUGUAGCGGUGAAAUGCGUAGAGAUCGGGAGGAACACCAGCAGCGAAGGCGGCGACCUGGAUAGGAACUGACACUCAACUGCGAAAGCGUGGGGAGCAAACAGG